AAUGUAGUCUCUUCGUGGGGAGGCGGUGGGAAACUACAGGUGCCGCCAUGCGCUGCGGCGGCCGCGCCCCCUCCGCUCAGCGGGGAGGUCCGGGUGGCUCUGUCCGCCUCGCCCGUGCGGCAGGCUCUCGGCGCGUUGGUUAGGCCGGAGUCUCUGGUUUUGGUCCGGAAGCACCGCGUCAGGCCCCGCUGAACCCGGCGGAGUUCGAUAGGGCGGCUGUCGGAGUGGUCGUGGCACCGGCAGGAAGACCGGCGCGAGCGGAGCGCCGCCAGUCUGGCGCAGUGAAGGGAGAGACUUGCAGCUCGUGCAGCAGACUUCAUGCUUCUGUUUGUACAUCCGUUAGUUUCAACGGUCGCUGCUGGUGGUAGUACGUAGAAAGCAUAAGGGAUGACAGAACUAAUGAAAUCACUAUGAUUUCACUGUGAGGGUGCUGAGGCCCUGGUACAGGGUGCCCAGAGAAGCUGUGGCUGCCCCAUCCCUGGCGGUGUUCAAGGCCGGGCUGGACGGGGCUUGGAGCAAGCUGCUCUAGUGGGAGGUGUCCCUGCCCGUGGCAGGGGGUUGGAGCUGGAUGAGCUUUAAGGCCCCUUCCAACCCAAACCAGUCUGGGAUUUCUGUGUCUUCUCAUGAGUGACCUAAGGUGAGACAAGCUGCUGUGUUCAGAAUGCAUCAGUAAGACAGGUAGUACCACCACCACAGGCACAUGAGACCACACAGUUAUGUGGGCUUUAGCACUGCUGCUCAGAGUAGAAAAAAUAAUUAGCAGAUAGUAGUGACUGCUGCGUAGUUACAAUAGCUCUUGCUUAUAGCCUUACUUAUUAUAAGCUCUUACUUGGUUGGGGCUGAGAUUUUUCACGUGGUUUCAAUCCCCCGAAAGAGUUUAUUUCAUAGCUGUUUUAUCACUGUCUAAUAACUAUUGCUCUAAUCAUGGGUUGGUGCUUUUAUCCGUAUUUAUUUUUUGACUGAGGGAAGGAAUUUGUUAGGCUUGCAUGAUGUCAGGUGUAGGUACAGGAACGUAAGUAUUGCAGUAGCAGAACAGGCUGGUUUUCCGCCAUGCUUUCUAUCUACUUUUCAGGUUCCCAUAUGCAUCCAAGCAAGGAAGGAAAGCGUAUGCUGAAGCCAAGUCUGAGUAAAACCCUGUGUGGGAUGUUUUUGAGUGCCAGGACCAGUGGAAAACAGCAUUCUAUACUCAUGUUUUAAGCUCAUAUAUUGUGAGUAGUUAAUUAAGGAUGACUGAAUAUUGGGAAGUGAAGUGUAAAUUUUGUGUGUACUCUUUAUGAAGACUGACGUUAGCCAUGUCUUGAAUAUAUAGGGUAUAGCUAAGCAUUUUUUCUUAAUCUCUGUGUCAUUACAGAUCAGGGGAAACGAAAAGUAUACCAAUGACUAUCAAUUUCACGAAAAAAGUGCUGUGCCAAAGUGGUCACUUGGCAUACUCAUUCCAUCAUUAGCCAUGUAAUCUAUGCUGCCAAACCAGAAAUAUCAACUAGUUUCAUACACACCAAUGAGCAGUUGCUAGAUGGUCGUUAAGCUGAGUUAGCCUUACUUGUAAGAAUCUGUGUAUUACUGCUCAUAUAGAUUGGUUUUUAAUGUAUGCUCAUACAGAUUGCUUUUUGUGAUGUAUGACUGCUGACACAUACGUGUAGGAAUGACAAUAUUUUUGAAGUUUUGUGUGAGAAAUUGCUUGGUCCCAUUUUGGUAUGUAGAAGUCAAGACUGACACUUCCUGGGAAGGCAAAUGCCUGCACUUUUAUUUAGGUGAAAGGGUUUGAUGCAGCAGGAGAAUUUACACUAUGCAAAAGCACAGCAAAAUACUGACAUCCUUUUCAUUAGGAAAAAAGCUAGGUGAGUUUGGGAAAAUCUGAAUUGAUGGGGUCACUUUCGUGCUUAGUGGUGGCUUUAAUGUUGUUUUGGGUUUUUUUAAAUUGUCAUAGAUGUGUUUGGGAGCAUAUUUCAUGCAGCAGAACAAGAGAACAAUAUUGUACACAAAUACAGUACAAAGACUCCACUGUCAGAACCACAACUGAAACACAGUCAUACAACAAGUUCUUACCAUGUGCUUCAUGACCACAAUCCUAGGACAACCAGGACAUUCGUGACUUCUCCCAUGCUACAGUUUUCAUGUCUGAGUUUGUCACACUGAUCUUUACAAGCUUGAGAAUAGCCAGCAAAAUCCUCAUGGAAGGCUGUUGUGCAAGGUAUUUUCAUCUAGUUCCUCUGUGUUAUGCUGCCCAGAUCAAGUAAGCCAAGAAACACAGCUCCUAGGGCUGCGUCUUGGUCGUUCCCUUUAGUAGCAGCAUGUGCACUCUGUGCACCAGUGGAAAGAGCAAAUGGAACUCGGGCAUUCCAACAGAAUGUCAAAGACAAAAUGCUAGUGGGGGUGGCAUACCUGUCUUCAAGGUAUGAGUGCCUGCCUUUAUGUUUCAUGGUUUGUUGGGACAUGUGAGAGGCUUUUAUAAAAAGAUAUAUGCUUCAAAAAAUUGUUCACUGUAGUGCUUUACAGCAGGAGAUGGGAGAGGAUUAUGUAGUAGAAUACAAAUGAAAAUUAAUUCAACUUUGUUCAGUAUCUGUUGAAAAACAAACAGGAACUUACUUAUCUACCUGUAGUCCUCUUCAUUUAUUUUUUAAGACAAGUGGAGCAAUUGUCACGCAAUUCUGCCUGUGUUAAUUCAUAUGAUAUAGUCAAAUGAAUAGCCACACCAACUUCAGUGGGAUUGUGUGUAUAAGUGCUGCCGAUCAUGGUAUACUGAGGGAACUGAGUUUUAACUGACGUUUAAAAAGUGAUCAUCCACUCGGACCAUAAAAAAGAAGCUGUUUUUACAAUGGAAAACUUCCUGUUGUGUAUAAAUGUAAAGAAUUAACUCUAUUGAUUAACUAAACUUUUAGAACAGUCUAAUUGGAACAGUUCCUGAUAAGGAAACAUGGAUUAAUGACAGUGUUUAUUGGGAUACAAAUACAGUGAAAAAGAAUUAAACACUAACUGUGAACUCAAGUUAAAAGAAAUUCAAUUUGUGAAUCACAGUCCACAUUGCUCAAAAAGCUUCCAUAUGACAACAGAAGUGCUAAGCACAGGGAAAGGAAGGGAGGCCACAGGAGCUCCUGUUUUCUUGUCUUGAUGUAACGUUAUUAAUGUUGAUGGCAUUUCUCCAGCAAAUGUUUCACAUAAAUCAUCUGUCAUCACUUGUGACAGAAUGGUGGCAUAAAGGAGUAUUACAAUUGCCCUGUGAUCUACCUAAAGCUAAUUGCUUGCAUAGGUUUUGAUAGUUUUCAUCUGACAGGGAAAAAAAUGAUUAAAAACAUGGAUUUAUGUUCUGAUGUACACUUCUCAGAUGGAGUUAAAAUUUUUAAAUCUUCCCCCUUUCUUUUGUCCUUAUCCAUUCCAGAUCUCUGUAAUGUCCUUUUUCUAUUAUUCUAAUUUCUUCUAUCUCUUCCACAUCUAGAGUUGUUUGACACAUCUCUAACUCCAUCCUUUCCAUCUUAGUACUCCACCUGGUAUCAAUCUGUUGGUCCUUCCCUUUCCUUAUUCCUUCCAGAGCUGUUUCGUUUUCUAAACUCUACGACUGCUGGGACUUUCUGUGCCCAUCAGGAUUCUCACAGUUGCAUAUUUUCUUUAGUACUCUGAUUUUUAACUCUUUCGUAAUAGCUCUUAUGUUUUGUUUCUUUGUUUUCAAGAAGGGCACGUUUCUAAUGCUUUGAUUUGAGAAGAUCGGAAGACCUACCUAGCCCGUCCCUUGAUUGACCCUUCAGGUUUCAGCUACUGCUGGUAGGUUCCUAUGCUUCUGCUUCUCCUAAGGGAGCCUCACUGCCUGUUGUGCAUAAAGAUUGGUGAUGUAUGGAGUGCAGAAAGCAAAACCUGUCAGGGCUAGUCUGCUCUCACAGAAGAACUUUAAGACAGAGUGACAGCUAAGAGGCAUCCGCCAGUGGUGUGACAGAGCCUACGAACAACUACAAGCCUGGGUAGCUCUUAAACUACUAGAAAUGAGCAGUUUGCUUUUCCUUGGCACCUGCUGCAUGAGAGCAGUCCUGUCUGGUGGGCCAGAAUCUAUUCACCACGGUGCGCUGCUGCCAGCAUGUGCUGUGGAUCACGGCAUUCCUAGCAGUUUUGUCUGCCAGUGUCAGCAUCAGGCCUGCUGGAAUCUUCACAUGCUUUCAACUAUUUUAUUGUAACUCCUUCUCACUUCCUGUUUGUUCCCUGCUAUUUUGCCACUGUUGCUGCUGUUUUUCCAUUCUUUCCAGUCCUCCCAGUCCAGGUGUCCCUCCCAACGGCCAUGGACCACACAAUCUCCCAUAUUCCACCCCUUCUGCUACUGCAGGGGCAUCACCCACAGCCUCACUCUCCCUCUGCAGAAAAUAACUAUCAUUCCUGCUGUACUACACACCAUGGCUAUAGGAGGACAUGAGUUAAAUAACUAAAUUGUCUUGAGACUGAGCACCAUGUAAGGGUUACAGCAUGAUCGUAUUUGUUCUGGGCAAUCAAUUUAAUGUAAUGGGAAACUCCAUCCAAAGCCAGAUCCUAGGAAAAAGCUGCGUGAGGCUGUCAAAUGCAUAAUGUUACCCUUGUCUGGUACAGCUCUAUGCAGAAACUUCACACUUCCACGAAAUGUUACUCAAAAGGGCAGAUUUGGCCCAGAAGUAUUGUGGCUGGAUGGUAAUCUAUCUGAGAAAUCACUUUUACUUUUCUGCUAAUUACAAACUCUUUCAGAUUCUGAGAUCCACAUUCCUAUUUCUGGAAACAAAUCCAUGACCUUCAAUAAUUAAUUUGCUGUAAUAGUCAACAGGAAAAUGGAACUGUCAUUUAUCUUUCAACUUGACUUUGUGUACAGACUCAGGCAAUUACAUCUCCAUCUUUUAGUUAAUUUUAUCUGCUACAGACUCAGUUAAAUUUACUUGCGGAUUUCAGUUAUUUCCUGAAAGUCUGCAGGAUAUGAACAAUUGCUGUUUGUAUAUUAAUCACUGAAAUGUUUUAUCCUGAUGUCCUAAGGAAAUAAAGCUUAUAUGAGCAAUUCAUAUGUUUGUGUACACAGUUUAUCUGUCCUUUUCCUGUGCCCUGUCUCUGUCAAAUUGAGUAAUCUUAAUUACUCAAUUUCAAAUACUAAGAAAAGUCAUUCUUUUAGAAAUGAAUUGUGUAGUCCUUAAAUGCCGUGUUGUCCCUAAUAGUUUUGGGUUUUUUUCUUCCUUUCACUGAGGAAAAGGUAACAAUAUGAACCUUCUACCUAGUAGUCUUAAGAAAAGCCACGCAUGAGAGCAAUGAGUGCCCCAACCACAGAAAAAGCUUCGGUUGGUGAGCGUGACUUAUUAAGCACUGUUGUAAGCCACAAAUGCAGAAGGAACCAAUAUAAGCAGUUUUGCUGCUCACAGAACCUCUGGGUUUUGUUCGCUGAAUGCUGGGUCACAUGGCAUGCAUGGGAAUAAAGUUUGAAAAUAAUUAUAAUGGAUAUUUAAAUAAACUAGUAAAUGUUGAAGUUUCAAAUGCCUUUAGCUGUGUAUCUGUAAAGAAAAAACAUUUCUUGCUUUAUUAAAAUUGUCAGAUUUACAAUCAGACUUUUUUUCCAUGAGGUCAGCACAUUCUUGUGGCUGGAAGAGGUCCAUAUGUGCUAGCUUUCCACCAAGAAAUGCCUGCUACACCAUCAGUGGCAUAGAAGAAUGUGGGGUAUGACACCAUCUGUCCCUUGUGCUGCGCAGAAGACGUCCUCUGAGAGUGGGGCUGUGCAGAUGGAGCAGCUUGGACAACAGAGACAGUUCCCUUGUGGGCCACUUAGUUGAACUUGACUGAAGAAUGUCUGCCCCUGGAAAGAAAAAUAUUUGGUUUCCAACAGAGAACUGGAAGUUUCUGUGCCAAAUGGGACAGUGUUUGGAUCAAGCUGGAACCGAAUGGAAAGAAGAUUAAAUUAUCAUGCUAAGACUGAAAGUUAUUAUAUAGAUACCUAAAACCCAAAUACACCUAUGUGGGUAUCUAUCUACUGUGAAUGUUCCUCCUUUCCUAUUUUCAAUCACUGUUAACUGCAUAAACCUAAGGUAUAGUAAUUCUUUGGAACUUCCUCUCAAAAAUAUAGGCACAUUUUGUUAAAUGUGUAACAUAGGCAGCAAGUGAUAUGGUCGUAUCAAGCUGUUUAAAAGAAGACAAGUGCAGGUCAGAUCUAUCUUCAAAGACUACAGGGCCCUGCAAAAUUCAUAGUACCAGAGCUAGAUGCCUUUCUAUCUAGUGUCACAUACAAUUAUAGUUUAGUCUGGAGGUGCUCUCUCUCUGUUGCCUGUCCCAGCAAUGUCAGAAUUUCAGUAUUAAGACUCAAUAUAUUAUACAGAUUUUUAGUUCAGAACCAGUAUAUUUGAAUCAAGGGCAACUACUGUCAGCAGAUGAAGAUUUCAGCUUUUAUCACCCCCUUCCAAACACACAUCUGCUCCAUAUAGGUACAUGUGUUUGUGUCUGAAUGCAUAUAUAUGCAUACACGUGUUAUUUUGGCACUGGUACUCAGAUCUUGUUCAUAGUACUGUUUUCCAUUAUCUGUCCUUGCAUAUCUCCUUUCAGUGGACACAAUAUAUACUUAUAGAUUGAGAAUUUGAAAGGAAAAGAAUCCAUAUUUUCUGUGAAGGCAUCUGUGUGGUUUUAUGUAAGAUUUUUAUAAGACUGAAUUUAAAAAGGGCAAAGAGAACAUCAUAAAGAUAAACCUAUAGAAUUUAAUGGAAUGAUAUAACUUAUAUUUCUCAUUUAUCUUAUAGAUUUCAUUAGGAAGUAGAAGUCACAUUAUAAAAUCUUGUAAGAUAAUGUAAGAAAUAAGAAGGACAGGUACUCAGAUAAAUUCUGUAAGUUUUAAAGUAAUUUCUGUAGAAACCUGUCAGCCUCCUCACCUCUGGUGGGUUCUAAAGGAUUUUCUGUAGAGACUGUAUUCAGUGUGUUCACAGGAAGGCUGGAGGCAUGGAUACAGCUGGACGAUGCAUGUGCCUUAUUCAGUGAAUUACUUACUAGUAGAUAUUAUUUGCUGCCUUGCCAAGCAGCAACAAAAUAGUAACAGAGAGCAGACUCCCGUAUCAGGUAUCACACACGCACCAGCUGUCCCUUUAACCCACUGUUCUCUUCCUUUCUCGUAAAACCCUUCUUUUUUUCAUCUUUAGAUAUUAAUGUUUUUCACUUGUGAAUAACUUUGUUUACAAUGUCACAUCUUAAAUACCCAGUGAAUUAUGGAAAAUUUUGUUUGUCAUGGAAAUAAAAUACUCACUUCACACUGAUAAAAGAAACACAGAAGUUUGCCCUUCCUGUUAGUAUUUGUGUAACUUUAAGGGAUGCCUUUUUGUUAUGCACACAGGUGCCAUGUGAUGCAGGAAUUACCAUGGAAACAACACUAUCAAAUGGCAAAAUCAGGCUUCAGAAUAGCUUUAUAUUAAUCACCUUCAGUUUUUCCAUAUGUUCCAAGUAUUCUUCUCUGCUCAACAUGGAGUGAACAUGAAACAUAACAAAUCUGUGAGCUGAAGGAUGAUACGCUUCACUUGCACAACUUUUCAGUCAUUGACGACCUGUUUUAGUAAUAAAUUCCUGUUGUUCGUAUUAUUAUGUGUAUAAAAAAGGUAAGUCAUGGACAAAGUAUGUAUGUACUUUAUCUACAUAUCCUCAGAAGAUAUUGUAGGGCAGACAUCUGCCAGUGGAGCCUUCAGUACCUUAAGCAGUGGGUAAGUAAUGUUAUUCCCAUAAAAGGUCCAUCACUGGUGCCACACUGUGUUUUAUGGAAUAAAGGAGAAUGGUUAGUUUAUAUUUCCAAGAUACCAUGGAACCUGUGGAUACUUGUCAAUUGAGCACAACCACUAUUUUAUCUGAUUGAGGCCUCUAUCAAACAAUGCUUCCUUCCUUGAAUAUGAAUUUCCUCAUAUGAAAGAGCUUUUAUUUGAUUCUUUUGUAUUAUAAGAUGUUCUCGAAGAAUAUAGAAAAAGUACAUGAUAUAAUGCUGUAAAGAACUUUUCUAACAAGCGUGAUGACUGGGCAAAUGUGUCAAAUGUUCGUAUACAACAAUUCAGAUCAGUACUUUUUUAUUGUAUCAUUCAAGCUUAUUGACUAACAGAACUAAAUAAACAUUCAUAAACCUUUAUACUCUCAGAUUUAGAAAAGAAUGACAAACAAUAGUGAAAAAAUAUGUCAGUGUUUAGUACAACAUACAGUUGUUAAGUAUAUAUGUUAUAUUUAAGACUGACUGUAGCAUGAAAAAAAUACCAACACAACUCUACACAGAUACAUAUUUAAACUAUGACCAUGUCACACAUAACUCCAUCUUUGCUAUUCAGCCACCUAAACUUUUGUUUUCUUACUGGGGCAGAGGAGGAGGUUUCUUUUUCCUAUGUUGACAGUAAAGUAUGUUCUUAAGACAUCAUACGUGAUGAUAUGAAAAAUCCUACUCAGUCCCAGCUGCAAAUGAAUCAUCUCAUGAUUUCAGAGAAGGAAGGAACCAGUGUGGACUGCAAAUGGGCAGAUACAGAAAGGGAGGAAUUUCCAAGAGAUGGAUUUCACUUACAUUGGCUGGUAGAAGGAAAGUUUUAGUGAGGAAUACUUAGAAGAAAAUCAAAGAAUUAGCUGA